rnacentral:rRNA from 1 species
AGCGAACGCUGGCGGCAGGCUUAACGCAUGCAAGUCGAGCGGGCACUUUCGGGUGUCCGCGGCGGACGGGUGCGUAACGCGUGGGAACGUGCCCUCUGGUUCGGAAUAACUCAGGGAAACUUGAGCUAAUACCGGAUACGCCCUUUUGGGGAAAGGCUUGCUGCCGGAGGAUCGGCCCGCGUCUGAUUAGCUAGUUGGUGAGGUAACGGCUCACCAAGGCGACGAUCAGUAGCUGGUCUGAGAGGAUGAUCAGCCACACUGGGACUGAGACACGGCCCAGACUCCUACGGGAGGCAGCAGUGGGGAAUAUUGGACAAUGGGCGCAAGCCUGAUCCAGCCAUGCCGCGUGAGUGAUGAAGGCCUUAGGGUUGUAAAGCUCUUUUAUCCGGGACGAUAAUGACGGUACCGGAGGAAUAAGCCCCGGCUAACUUCGUG